UACAGAGGUGCCAAGCGUUAGGCGGAAUCACUGGGCUUAAAGCGUGUGUAGGCGGAUCGUUAAGUACCUUGUGAAAUCCCACGGCUCAACCGUGGAACUGCUGGGUAUACUGGCGGUCUUGAGCCACCUAGGGGCAACUGGAACAAGCGGUGGAGCGGUGAAAUGCGUAGAUAUCUAGAGGAACGCCGAUGGUGAAGACAGGUGACUGGGCCUAUUCUGACGCUGAUGCACGAAAGCGUGGGGAGCAAACGGG
rnacentral:rRNA from 1 species